rnacentral:rRNA from 1 species
UUUAAGUGUUAAUAUAAAAACUAAAUUAUUAAUAGUUAUGUUCUUUAAAGUUAAAGAUUUUGGCGGUAUUUUAGUCUAUUCAGAGGAACCUGUCCUGUAAUUGAUAGUCCACGAUUAACUUUACUUAAUUUUUUAAGCUUGUAUAUCGUUGUUUAUAGAAAAUUUUAUAAGAAUAAUAAUUUUUAAUAAAUUUAAUUAAAUUAUAAAUCAAAUCAAGGUGCAGUUUAUGGUUAAGAAGAGAUGGGUUACAAUAAAUUUAUUUAUUAAUGAAUUUUUAAUUUAAAGAUUGAAAUGAAGGAGGAUUUGAUAGUAAUAUUGUUUAAUUAAAUGAUUUGAUUUUAGCUCUAAAAUAUGU